GCCGAGAUAGCUCAGCCGGUAGAGCACAGCACUGAAAAUGCUGGUGUCCCCAGUUCGAUCCUGGGUCUCGGCACCA
rnacentral:tRNA from 1 species